UACAGAGGGUGCGAGCGUUAAUCGGAAUUACUGGGCGUAAAGCGUGCGUAGACGGUCAUGUAAGUCGGAUGUGAAAGCCCCGGGCUCAACCUGGGAAUUGCAUUCGAGACUGCAAGGCUUGGGUGCGGAAGAGGGAAGCGGAAUUUCCGGUGUAGCGGUGAAAUGCGUAGAUAUCGGAAGGAACACCAGUGGCGAAGGCGGCACCCUGGGCCAGUACUGACGCUGAGACGCGAAAAGCGUGGGGAGCGAACGGGA
rnacentral:rRNA from 1 species